ensembl:lncRNA
CGGGACCUACAGGAGCCCGGCCUGGGCGUGAGCACAGCGUUGGCCAGUUAGCGCGCUCGGUUCGCGGAGGGGCUGGGAUCGGCGCUACUGUGAGACAGGAAAGAGGAUAGAAACUGAGAAAUACAGGCUCAUACAAACAUGUGUCCUCAUCCACUUUAUUCACCAGAUCUGGCACCAUGGGACUUCUGGCUCUUCCUCAAAGUCAAACUGACCACGAAAGGAAAAUGUUUUGAAUCUCUUCAAGACAUCGAGGCAUCCACAACAGCACAACCAAAGACUUCCAGAACUGUUCCAGAAAGUGGCAAGAACGACGGGAUGAAUGUGUUCAAAAUGAGGGGGAGGGCUGGCCAUGGAGGCACCUGCCUGUAACCCCAGCACUUCGAGGCCAAGGCAAGAGGAAUGCUGGCAUUGGUCAGAUUUACAUUUUCUGCAUGUGAGACUGGGAGUGAGAACAAGAUAUUGGCUGAAAAGCAGAAGUGAAACGACUCAUUGCUGUGUUGAGAAGAUGCUCCCAGGCUGUUGUCCACACAGCAAGUCUGUGUCUGGGCCCAUCUGGGAUCAGAGAAGCCACCUGGAGCAGCAAUGGGGAAACUUGGAGGGAGAAGCUGCAGUCUGAGUUCAGUGAUGAUCAUGUGUGGGCAGUUUCUAUGGAAAAGAAACUCCACAGGAAUUUAGCAGCAUUCAGAACACAAUCAGAACUACAGGAUUUCUGCGGGAGAUCAAAAUCUUCGUAUGUAAUCAGGGUGGGAAAAUUUUGGUGUCUCAUCAAACAACACAGACUUCCCACUGGAGAGAAGACAUAUGAAUGUAAGGAAUGUGGGAGAACAUUUACGGAAGUUCAGAUCCUAGAGGCACAGGAAUAUUGGAGGUGGAGAGAAAUGCUGUGACGGUAAUAAGUACAUGUGGGAAAACCUCCUACCAGAGUCCAAACCUUCAACAAUAUUCUGUAAUUCACACAAGAGAGGAAAACAGUCAAUGCAAAGGAACUUCUAGGAAAAACCAAAACUCAUUCGGAGUAUGAUACUUCAUUUCGGAGAGACACCUUUGAAUGUUUUGAACCUGGAAAAUCUUUUAUUUCAUCCUCACACCUUCUUCAGCAUCAAUCAGGGUAUUUACAAUAGAGGAAAACCAGAUGACUAUAAAGGAAAUGGAAGAGUCUUCAGGUGGCCCCAGAGCCACUUAAGCACCAGAGAAUUGGGUGGAGAGAAGCCUUGUGUAAUGUCUGUCAGAGGCUUUCCAGCUGGUGCGCAAACCUGGGACAAUAUAGGAUCAUCAUGCAGGAACAAACCAGACAAGUGUAGCCUAUGUGGCAAAGCAUUCUGGGAAAGUGGGAAAUUUCUUCAGCGUCAAAUAAUUCAUACUAGGGGGCAAGGGGAAACAGCCUAUUUGUGCAAAGGCUGCAGGAAACUGGGGGAAGUUCAGCCCACCUUUUCCCAUCAGCAAGGAGAUGCUACUGAAGAAGAAAACUUACAAGUGCAAAAAAUAUGGGACCGUCUCCAGUUGACUCAGCCUGAUUCAGCAUUGAGAAUUCGUACUGGGAAAGAAAGCUUAGGUGUGAAGAAGGUGGCAGAGCUUCCCAUUCAAGUUCCCCUCUUAUUUAUUAGACCCUGAGGAUUCAUGGUGAAGAAAUGACGCUGGACAGCAAUAAAGAAGGUUGGACUCCAGGACUCAAGUGGGAGUUCUGGACAAGGACGUCUCACACAUGUCCUCGCAAUGUGCCCCCGAAAAAGAUGUGUUGUGCUGUCUCCAAGAGAGAUGACAAGAGCUUGUGCACUGAACCUGCUGGCCUUCUUCUAUUUAUAUCCUUUUCCUGCUGUUCCUGCAUUGUGUCCUUUUGCUGCAAGAAAUCUCAACCUUGAAUAGAGUGUCAUGUGGAAUCAUGGGGGUCCUCUAUCUGUGCGGGGUCACUGAGAAUAGAAAGUUAUUUUAUAAAAAUAGAAACGUAAUU